CCCUGGGAGAAAAGCCCACGGGGGAAAUUGUCACGGGUUUUAUUCCAUGUCCAUUUGGAAGCCCACGAGGCAGGGAUUUCCCGGCCCAAUCCGCGGGGAAACCCUAGGGAAAGGUCCCUGACCUCCGGAGGUCGGGAAUUUUUCCUCUCUCGAUCCGCCGCUGCUUCUCGCUCGCGCAACCGGAGUCGCUUCUCUCUCGCGCGAACAACAGCGGGCGCCGCCACGCCUCCUUCUCCGGCGAGACGCGCCACCGCCGAGACUCCUCCUCCGGCGAGAAGGGCACCAACGCGUGGGCGCGGCGGGUGGCACCGCGGCAGUUGGUGCAACGACGACGAGGCGGCGAGCCGGCAGCGCGGGCACACGGCUCCAAGCAGGCGGGGACAGGGGGGAUCCAAGGCGGCGCGACUCACUGGCAGAGGAGGCGCUGAGGCGCAGAUCCGCCUCCUCCUCCUCGCUGCGCGACGCCCGCCGGCGGUUGCCCGGCUAGGUUUGUGCGUGCCCUUGUAGCUGCUGCUUGAUUCUUGGGGGUUCGUUCAGUACUUUAGUUUUCUUGGUGUAUGUAUGGCAUGUUUCUUGAUUUGGUUUGGGAGAGUUGUAAUUUGUUCUCCUGUUCUUUCUAAUACAUUGUAGUAUUGUACCCUGCAGUAGCAUUUCAUUUUGUUAUGGAAGCGAUUCAGAAGGGGAUAUGGGUGGGCGUAUGGUGCUCUUGUUUUAGAUCAUGAAUGAGUUUUGGUAAGAUGAUGUUCUAAUUUGAUGGAGUAGGUUGUGCUCUGGUUUUUUCUGCAGUGUAAUUAUCAUGCUUAGUGCAGUCUAAAUAUAUGAGAUCAAUGUGCCAGUCCCAAGAAAUGAGGAAUUAUCACACAUGCAGUGAGGAUCAUUCAACUAGUGAGGUAUAUGAGAAAUUUUAGUCUGCAAACCAGUAACAGUUUUUUGCAGUUAAUUAGAGAUGCAGUUCUUUUAGUUGGAUGCUGUCAGCUCUGUUAACCUAGAGGUAGAUCUCAGUACUGGUUGAGCUGCUAGCAUCAAGUUUUUUGUUUUUUCUGGAGGUAUUUUUUAGUCUGAUCCAUUCUUGUAGUCUCUGUCAGGGAACUGUAGAAUUAGUGGUUAAUUUAGCAUGCAUGUUGGGACUAAAUAAAUGGUAACAAUCAUAUUUUUGAUAGGAACUCAUACUUACUACAAAAUGAAGUCUUUUAUGCUCUAUACUUAUACAUUAGUCCAAACUUUAGUUUCAUGUCAUGUAUCACCAGCAGAAAAUGAGCAAGGUGGCAUUGUACAUUCAAAAAACACAAGCUUUGGCAGCAACCUAUAUACAAGACACGCACACACAGAUGUUUCAAUCUCCUCUCUCUCACUCACUGCACAAUACACUGGCCAAACAAAGUGACUUAGUAGUACUGAUUAAUUAAAACAACAACAACUACUACUUUUUUUCCUUAUCAUGUCCAUAAUGAUAAUUCAUAAUUGUGCUCUUGCAUUCUUCCUCUUGCCAGGAUUCAAUUUGAAUUGCAUGCUCAACUUACUUUCAAAUAUGGACUUGAAAUAGAGUAUUGUUGGAAAACUAUCAAUACAAAAACAUGGACUUCAAAUGUGUUUGAUUUAAAAAUAAUGGUGUGUAUCUGCAUGUAGGGUGUUUGAUCUAAAAAGAAAGUGCUUAUACAAAGAGUUUGUUUACGCUGAUGUAGCUGGCAAUUGCAAUAUGUUGGUUGAUGUGCAUGCAUUUUUUUUCCUAAGCUAGUAUCAAUGGCCGUCCUUCAAAUUUGAUUGCUGAAGUAUCACUAUUUUAUAUUUAUUACUUAAAUUUUAGAUUAUCUUUUUCAUCAUGGCAGAUUUAUUAGAAUAUAUGAAGAUUUGUUGAAGAGAUGACGAAGAAGAUAGAAGAGAUAAAGAUUUAAAUGGACCCAUGUCUCAUUCUUGAUCCAGACAUUUGUGGAUAUAAAUAUGAUGUACAGUAUAUUUGUGGAUGCAAGGAUGAUUCCAAAGAUUUUAAAUUUUGUAUGAUAUGGAUGAUUCUAAAGUUUAACUUAUGUCAUGUCACGAAGUUGGUUUCCACAUAAACUCACCUAUAUUUCUUUGUAUUUUUCUGAAUUUCUAAUACUUGUUGAUUUUUUAUGUUUUUUUUUUCUGGAAUUUUUGUAGGUUGUUUCCUAUUUAUAUGGAUUUUCUAUAUUCUUUCUAUUUUUCCUGAAAUUUCUAUAAUAUUUCUAGAGACAUGUUUUGUUGUUUACGGGACUUUUUCCUGGGGUUUCCUCCCCUGCAUCCAAAGGAGCCCUUAAUUUCUUUGAAUUGGGAGGAAUCGGUCCCAUCAACACAUUUUUUACCAACCGAUAGCAAUCCCUAUAGCACAAGCAAGCAGCAGAGUCGAUCGCCAACCAUCACAAGUGUCUGAACAUUCAUUUUCUCUCUUCCUCUAUUGCUCCCUAGGCGCUGGCGAAAUGCAGAUGGUGUCCUCGUCGCUGAGCAAGCCGUUGUUGUUGUCCUCGUAGCUGAGCAUGGUUUUAGGCAUGCUCCCGACCCUCAAGAGUGUAUUCGCGUGGCCGUCGUCGUCCCCGUCGCCGGCGGAAGGGGCACCCUGCAGCCUCAGCCAGGCUUUCUUCCUCCUCUGCAUGAGAGCCACCAUUAUCCUGGGGGCGUGUUAUACUGUUUUCCUUUUCUGGGUUGCAUUUGCAUACCCUCGUAGCUGGCUAGAGUACCUGCAGCUGUCUCCAUUGUUCGUCGUCGCUGUAACUGCUCCAACGCUGGGAGUAGUGAUGAUCCGGAACGGCUGAACUAUACCAUCAAACUUCGUGGAUGCGUGUGGGCACAUCAUUAAUUCCUCAUACUGCUUACUACUACUAUGUGCAUGUCUGUUAUGCUACGAAAUGCAUGUAUCGAUCUGCGAUGUAAUAUUCAGUAUUUUUCAUAGCACAACAGACAUCGCAGAUACUGUACGUAUAUUGUUGUUCGUCAUUUUCCUUUCCACUUUUCUUGUUAAUUUGAAGAAUGCAAUAGAUGCGCCUGAAAUAUAUGCAUCUGUACCGAUAUAAAGAUGUUAUAUAAUAACACAGGUUUGAUACGCAUCUAGUCUUGACUGUUACUGUUAUUGAUCAUAUAUAUGGUUGAGAUUUAAUUUA